rnacentral:rRNA from 1 species
AGUCACUGACAUUAGAUACCCCCGUAGUCCCAGCCGUAACAAUGUGCGUUAGGUGUGUCGGUAACCACGUGUUACUGAUGCGCCGAAGAGAAAUCGUGAAACGCACCACCUGGGAAGUACGGUCGCAAGGCUGAAACUUAAAGGAAUUGGCGGGGAGCACCACAACAGGUGGAGCCUGCGGUUUAAUUGGAUUCAACGCCGGACAUCUCACCGGAUAAGACAGCUGAAUGAUUGUCAAUCUGAAGGUUUUACAUGACUAGCUG